rnacentral:rRNA from 1 species
AGCGGACCGACGGGAGCUUGCUCCCUUAGGUCAGCGGCGGACGGGUGAGUAACACGUGGGUAACCUGCCUGUAAGACUGGGAUAACUCCGGGAAACCGGGGCUAAUACCGGAUGCUUGAUUGAACCGCAUGGUUCAAUCAUAAAAGGUGGCUUUCAGCUACCACUUACAGAUGGACCCGCGGCGCAUUAGCUAGUUGGUGAGGUAACGGCUCACCAAGGCGACGAUGCGUAGCCGACCUGAGAGGGUGAUCGGCCACACUGGGACUGAGACACGGCCCAGACUCCUACGGGAGGCAGCAGUAGGGAAUCUUCCGCAAUGGACGAAAGUCUGACGGAGCAACGCCGCGUGAGUGAUGAAGGUUUUCGGAUCGUAAAACUCUGUUGUUAGGGAAGAACAAGUACCGUUCGAAUAGGGCGGCACCUUGACGGUACCUAACCAGAAAGCCACGGCUAACUACGUGCCAGCAGCCGCGGUAAUACGUAGGUGGCAAGCGUUGUCCGGAAUUAUUGGGCGUAAAGCGCGCGCAGGCGGUUUCUUAAGUCUGAUGUGAAAGCCCCCGGCUCAACCGGGGAGGGUCAUUGGAAACUGGGGAACUUGAGUGCAGAAGAGGAGAGUGGAAUUCCACGUGUAGCGGUGAAAUGCGUAGAGAUGUGGAGGAACACCAGUGGCGAAGGCGACUCUCUGGUCUGUAACUGACGCUGAGGCGCGAAAGCGUGGGGAG